rnacentral:rRNA from 1 species
CUAAAUAGGAUUCCCUCAGUAAUGGCGAAUGAACAGGGAUCAGCUCAGCGUGGAAAUUGGGGCCCUCGGCCUUGAAUUGUAGUCUCGAGAUGCAUCGCCAAUGGAGGCGCAGAUGUAAGCCUCUUGGAAAAGAGCAUCAACGAGGGUGAGAGUCCCGUUUGUCAUCUGCAGUCCCCCAUGCACGGCGUGCCUUCUAAGAGUCGCGUUCCUCGGAAUUGGAGCGUCAAUUGGGUGGUAAAUUUCAUCUCAAGCUAAAUAUUGGUUCGAGACCGAUAGCAAACAAGUACCGUGAGGGAAAGGUGAAAAGGACUUUGAAAAGAGAGUUAAAAGUGCCUGAAAUUGCUGAAAGGGAAGCGAAUGGAACCAGUGUUGCUUGGCGAGAUUGUCGUACGCAUUCGCGUGUGGUGGUUCUUGCCUUGUGUGUCAACGCCAGUUCGCGAUCGAGGAAAACUCCAGGGACAUGGUAGCCUACCCCUGGGUGGGUGAAUGUGCCUGGUAGAACUCAUUUGCGGACUGUUUCCUUCGUGUCUGGUUGCAGUGCUGCUUGAUCUUGUGUUGGCGCUUGGGGGUGGGAGCUCGCUCCUCACACCCUGCCCUUCUAAGGUUCUCAGCGCUUCCCUGACACAUAGACGAUGACUAAAUGGUUCUAUUCGACCCGUCUUGAA